rnacentral:rRNA from 1 species
CGGCGUGGAUAAGACAUGCAAGUCGAGCGCUGAUUUCGGGGUAGCAAUAUUCCGGAGUUGGAGCGGCGCAAGGGUGCGUAACACGUGGGUAAUCUGCCAUGAAGUCUGGAAUAACUUGCUGAAAGGCGAGCUAAUACCGGAUGUGACCAUCGGGAGGCAUCUCCUGGUGUUUAAAGUUGGGGACCGUAAGGCCUGACGCUUCAUGAUGAACACGCGGCCUAUCACGGUAGUUGGUGAGGUAACGGCUCACCAAGCCUAAGACGGGUAGCUGGUCUGAGAGGACGACCAGCCACACUGGAACUGAGACACGGUCCAGACACCUACGGGUGGCAGCAGUCGAGAAUUUUUCACAAUGGGCGCAAGCCUGAUGGAGCGACGCCGCGUGGGGGAUGAAUGGCUUCGGCCCGUAAACCCCUGUCAUUCGCGAUCAAACCUUGUUAUUUAAAAGAUGACGAGCUGAUAGUAGCGGAAGAGGAAGGGACGGCUAACUCUGUGCCAGCAGCCGCGGUAAUACAGAGGUCCCGAGCGUUGUUCGGAUUCACUGGGCGUAAAGGGUGCGUAGGUGGCGAGGUAAGUCGGAUGUGAAAGCUCGGAGCUCAACUCCGAAAUGGCAUUGGAAACUACCUUGCUCGAGGAAUGGAGGGGGGACUGGAAUUCUCGGUGUA